rnacentral:rRNA from 1 species
GACGAACGCUGGCGGCGUGCUUAACACAUGCAAGUCGAACGGAAAGGCCCCUUUUGGGGUCCUCGAGUGGCUGACGGGUGAGUAACACGUGAGUAACCUGCCCUUGUCUUCGGGAUAACUUCACGAAACUGGGGCUAAUACCGCCUCGUAAUCCUUGCUGCAUGGUGGGGGUUGGAAAGCUUCGGCGGUUUUGGUUGUACUCGCGGCUUAUCUGCUUGCUGUUGGGGUAUUGGCUUACCAAGGCUUUGACGGGUAGCCGGCCUGAGAGGGCGACAGGCCACACUGGGACUGAGAGGAGGCCGAGACUCGUAAGGGAGGCAGAAGGGGGGAAUAUUGCACAAUGGGCGGAGGCCGGAUGAAGAAGGGCCGCGGGCGGGAAGACGGCCUUGGGGGUGUAAAACGCUUUCAGCAGGAGAGAAGCUUGUGGUGACGGUACCUGCAGAAGAAGCACCGGCUAACUACGUG